UUCGAUCCUGGCUCAGAUUCGAACGCUGGCGGGGAUGCUUUACACAUGCAAGUCGAACGGCAGCACGGACUGGUCUGGUGGCGAGUGGCGAACGGGUGAGUAAUGUAUCGGAACGUGCCUAGUAGCGGGGAGAUAACUACGCGAAAGCGUAUGUCACCUUUUUGCCCUUCGGGGGAAAGCGGGGACCUUCGGGCCUCGCACUAUUAGAGCGGCCGACAUCGGAUUGGCUGGUGGUGGGGUAACGGCUCGCAAGGCGACGAUCCGUAGCUGGUUUGAGAGGACGACCGACCACACUGGGACUGAGACACGGCGGCCCAGACUCCUGCAGGAGGCAGCAGUGGGGAAUUUUGGACAAUGGGAAACCUGAUCCAGCCAUCCCGCGUGUGCGAUGAAGGCCUUCCCGGGUUUGUAAAGCACUUUUGGCAGGAAAAAAGCGGCGCAGGAUAAUACCCCGUGCAACUGACAAUGCAGAAUGGCGCAAGUAACUACGUGCAGCAGCCGCGGUAAUACGUAGGGUGCAAGCGUUAAUCGGAAUUACUGGGCGUAAAGCGUGCGCAGGCGGUUCGGAAAGAAAGAUGUGAAAUCCCAGAGCUUAACUUUGGAACUGCAUUUUUAACUACCGAGCUAGAGAGUGUGUCAGAGGAGGUGGAAUUCGCGUGGCGGUGGUAAGUAGAUAUGCGGAGAACACCGAUGGCGAAGGCAGCCUCCUGGGAUAACACUGACGCUCAUGCACGAAAGCGUGGGAGCAAACGGGUUAGAUACCCUGGUAGUCCACGCCUAAACGAUGUCAACUAGCUGUUGGGGCCUUCGGGCCUUGGUAGCGCAGCUAACGCGUGAAGUUGACCGCCUAGGGAGUACGGUCGCAAGAUUAAAAAACUCAAAGGAAUUGACGGGGACCACUGAAAGCGGUGGAUGAUGUGGAUUAAUUCGAUGCAACGCGAAAAACCUUACCUACCCUUGACAUGUCUGGAAUCCCGAAGAGAUUUGGGAGUGCUCGCAAGAGAACCGGAACACAGGUGCUGCAUGGCUGUCGUCAGCUCGUGUCGUGAGAUGUUGGGUUAAGUCCCGCAACGAAGCGCAACCCUUGUCAUUAGUUGCUGCGAGGGCACUCUAAUGAGACUGCCGGUGACAAACCGGAGGAAGGUGGGGAUGACGUCAAGUCCUCAUGGCCAUAUGGGUAGGGCUUCACGUCGCACAAUGGUCGGGACAGAGGGGUCGCCAGCCCGCGAGGAGCCAAUCCCAGAAACCCGAUCGUAGUCGGAUCGCGAUCUACAACUCGACUGCGUGAAGUCGGAAUCGCUGGUAAUCGCGGAUCAGCAUGUCGCGGUGAAUACGUUCCCGGGUCUUGUACACACCGCCCGUCACACCAUGGGAGUGGGUUUUACCAAGUAGUUAGCCUAACCGUAAGGAGGGCGAUUACCACGUGGGAUUCGCCUGACUAGGGUGAAGUCGUAACAAAGUAG
rnacentral:rRNA from 1 species